rnacentral:misc_RNA from 1 species
UCAAACUUGGUCAUUUAGAGGAAGUAAAAGUCGUAACAAGGUUUCCGUAGGUGAACCUGCGGAAGGAUCAUUAUUGGUACUGGGUCUUUUGGGCCCGACCUCCAACCCUGUGUCUACUCACCUUUGUUGCUUUGGCGAGUAUGUCCUAAGGACCGUCGAGGGUGGCUUUGCCCCCUACUCGCCGAUAGCCUAAUGGUUACACUCUUGAAAAUGAAUGUCUGAGUUUGAAAAAAUGAAAUCGAAAACUUUCAACAAUGGAUCUCUUGGUUCUGGCAUCGAUGAAGAACGCAGC